AUACGUAGGGAGCCAGCGUUGUCCGGAUUUACUGGGCGUAAAGAGCGCGUAGGCGGUCUGGCAAGCGGAGGGUGAAAUUCCGGGGCUCAACUCCGGAACUGCUCUCCGAACUGUCAGACUAGAGUACGGGAGAGGACAGUGGAAUUCCUGGUGUAGCGGUGGAAUGCGUAAAUAUCAGGAGGAACACCCGUGGCGAAGGCUGCUGUCUGGAACGUUACUGACGCUGAGGCGCGAAAGCCAGGGGGGCGAACGGGAUUAGAUACCCCGGUAGUCCUGGCUGUAAACGAUGGACACUAGGUGUUGGAGGCAUCGACCCCUUCAGUGCUGUUCUGCUAACGCGUUAAGUGUCCCGCCUGGGGAGUACGGCCGCAAGGUUGAA
rnacentral:rRNA from 1 species